rnacentral:rRNA from 1 species
UACGGAGGGGACUAGCGUUGUUCGGAAUUACUGGGCGUAAAGCGCACGUAGGCGGAUUUGUAAGUCAGGGGUGAAAUCCCGAGGCUCAACCUCGGAACUGCCUUUGAUACUGCAAAUCUCGAGUCCGGAAGAGGUGAGUGGAAUUCCUAGUGUAGAGGUGAAAUUCGUAGAUAUGAGGAAGAACACCAGUGGCGAAUGGGAGUCGCUGGUGCGGGACUGACGCUGAGGUGCGGGAGAGUGGGGAGCAAACAGG